rnacentral:rRNA from 1 species
GACGAACGCUGGCGGCGUGCUUAACACAUGCAAGUCGAACGGUGAAGCGAGUGCUUGCACUCGUGGAUCAGUGGCGAACGGGUGAGUAACACGUGAGUAACCUGCCCAUCACUCUGGGAUAAGCACUGGAAACGGUGUCUAAUACUGGAUACGACCAACCCUUGCAUGGGGUGUUGGUGGAAAGAUUUAUCGGUGAUGGAUGGACUCGCGGCCUAUCAGCUUGUUGGCGGGGUAAUGGCCCACCGAGGCGACGACGGGUAGCCGGCCUGAGAGGGUGACCGGCCACACUGGGACUGAGACACGGCCCAGACUCCUACGGGAGGCAGCAGUGGGGAAUAUUGCACAAUGGGCGAAAGCCUGAUGCAGCGACGCCGCGUGAGGGAUGACGGCCUUCGGGUUGUAAACCUCUUUCAGCAGGGAAGAAGCGAAAGUGACGGUACCUGCAGAAGAAGCACCGGCUAACUACGUG